CUCUAUGUAUGGUAUUAUCAUAUCGACGCUAUCAGUUCUUACAGUAUCACGAUCAGAGUCAAUUUUAGAAUAGAAGAAGCAAUUAACGGCGGAUCGCAAAGUAAGAAGCUUAUAACAUAAUUGGCAAGGAAGUCGGAUUUUCCGGAUUCACAGACACGAAGCUCGAAUUAUUCCUGAUCGACCACCACUUUUCGUUUUUCGGCUGAAACAUCACAUGCUGGCCAUUCGUCAGCGGCUGAACGAAGAACGAUCUCUGCCCGAUCAACAUCAAGGCGUACACUUCUUCUUCGCAUAUCGUCACGACGACGAAGGAACUCGCGUCUUCUUCCAAGCUGCCUUGUCGAAGAUCGCAGUUCGCCUUGGCGUUACGUCGCUCGGACUUGGUUUUACCCUGGCGCACCCAAUUCACGGUGAAAUUCGACGACAGUAUCAAUCGAUCGUUGGCCAUGGUCCUUAAGGUCCAGUUGCUGAUCUCGAGGAACACCGGCUCUUGGUGGAGAUACUCGCGCCAAGUUUCUCGGUCUUCGUGGGUCGAUCUUCUGUUCCACGCGCUCUCAUUCGGGAUCACUCGAGGGUAAACGAUCUCGUACUCCUGCAAGCUUUGCAGAAAGUCGCUCAUUCGCGACUUAGUAGCGAUCGUGCCGAGCAGCCACGUGGCGAGGAGAAAACUGGGAAGUUUCGAUCGCGUCAUGUCUCGCGCGCUUUGAUCGAAAUUUCAAUAGGAUUUUCUGGCUACCCAAAACUCGCCAGGCAUGCUCGUUCACUCGCAGACGUAGUUAUCGCGAUGAAAGCAGCUAGUUCGCGGACCCGAUAUUCUCAUUUCAUUUCGCCGGUUCGUAACGCGUUCGAAACGCCGUGUCAUAUAGACGCGGAUGCGACGAUACUCUCGCGAUCUAACAUUUUCAAUGUCUCGCGCUUUAUCACGUAGCUCGUGCGGAAGUAAUACGAAGGUGAAUCGUUGGUUUUAAUACACAGGGUGUUGUUUAAUCGAUCGUAUAAUGGAGAAGGGAACGAUUCUACGGUACACCAGAGAUGAAAUGAAAUCAUAGAAUGUAGUGGUUUUGUAGGUAGUGCUUUAUCGAAAAGAUUAACCGUGAAUAUUUGCUCGACCUAUUUAUACCAAAUUGAUACAGAUCGACGAGUUUCGAACGACGAAUCUUUCUCAAUUUCCUUCGAUCAUCGUCUCUAGGCGUACGAAACUGCCUCGUUGAAUUCGAACGUUUCUCGAUUUCCUUCCACGUCUUUCAAUUUCUUCUUUUUUCAAUCGCCGUUCGCCUUCUCAAAGCUGUCUUCGAACAGAAUUCUUAGAACGACUUCCAAUUCCUUUCGAUUCGUCCAAUCGUUUAGCUUUACGAAACUGUUUCGCUAAACUCCUUUUUCCACUGUACUUGCGUAUCGUAACAAACUCGUCGGCGGUAACUCGCGUCGAUUAACGAUUCACCACCAGUAAAGUAACCGGGAAUGCAGCAAACUAGUAGUCGGUAGAACGAAGCGGAACGUAAGUGGAGCGAGCGAUAAGAGCGAUCGCGACAAUCGCACGCCUCGCCGUGCGAUUCCCACGCGAACGAAUCAUCAAAUUCGAGCCAAAGAUUCACACUAACUCGAAGAUUCGCGCCAGUAUUUUCCACGCGCGCGUCACAGAAAUUCGAACGACUUUCGCGAAAAGGACGGAAGGAUAAGACGAUCGAUCGGAUCUCGGGUCGAUCGCGAUACCCCCGGACAGAAGGUUUCGACGAAAAAGUGGAGUAGACGCGACGAAGGAGCGUCGUGCAGCAACUGGUGGCCAAUUUAUUCACCACGUGCCGUAGCAAUUUAAUUUUCUUUCGCGCAACAACGAUCCACCAUCGGAGAAAGUAGAAUAUAAUUAAUUUCGAUCUCGUGUCGAUCGCGACGUUCCGGAUGGAACGUUUCGCCGAAGAGGUGGAAUAAACGCGACGAAGGAGCGUCGUGCAGCAACCGAUGGCCAAUUUUUCCACCACGUGGCACCACGUGGAAAUUUAAACGUUUCCCAUGAAAAUGAUGCACCAUCGGUGAAAGUAAAAUACGAUAAUUAAUCGGUCGUCGAGUCGAACGUGAUAUUCCGGAUAAAAUUUUUCGAUGAAAAAAGUGGAGUAAACGCGACGAACGAGCUUCGUGCUACGACUGGCAGCCACAUGGACGGAUGAACGCGGCUGGAAACGCACGCAAUUGCAGCGGCGAAUUGUGCGUAAGAGUAAGCGCGAACGC